rnacentral:lncRNA from 1 species
CAUAUAUUUAGAAUAUAAUACUUUCAAAAACAUUUCAAUGUCCAGGACUUUGCCUCUUUCUUCAAGGUCGACACAGACCCCUAUCCUUCUUACGACGAAGAGAAGGAGCUUAAGGAGGCAUUCAAGCUCUAUGACUAGGAUCAUAAUGGACUGAUCUCAUCCGUCGAGUUUCACAAGAUCCUCAUGCGCCUUCGAUGAGUGGUGCACCGAACAAGACGGCGUUGGGAUGAUAAAAUCUGUUGAUUUUGAUGGAGGUCGUUAGGUUAGCUUUGAUGAAUUCAAGAAAAUGAAGAUGAACAGUAGCGACAAUAACAACCCGUGGAGCUCCCAAAAUAGACAGUGGCGUGGCACCCGCAGAUUUUAGUGUUCACUUCUACCUGAUGUAUCACCUUUUUCCUUUGAAAUGGUGAUUCUAGGACAAAAGCCUCUGAUAUUGAUGAUUUGGGGUUAAUUUGGAUUGUGUUUAUGAAUUUUACUCUAAUGGCGUGCCACUUUAUUUACUUUAUUGGUUCUUUUGGAUAUUGCGUUGAAU